rnacentral:lncRNA from 1 species
UUCAGCGCUCCCUCCUAGAGCCAGAGGGUCACAGCCAGGGAGAGGAAGUGCCCACACUCCACACCCUCGGGCUUCCAGAACAUCGCUGCUGUCACGGCCCCUGCUGCUGGCUUCUCUACCCAGUGGCCAUGGCCACCCAUCAAAACCAAGGGCACUUGUAUACAAAUAUGAGCUGGGAAUUAAAGCGCCCCCCUUCUCCCCGUCUCUCCAAAUGCUGAAUGAUGA